rnacentral:rRNA from 1 species
UACGGGAGGCAGCAGUGGGGGAUAUUGCACAAUGGAGGGAACUCUGAUGCAGCGACGCCGCGUGGGUGAAGAAGUUAUUCGUAAUGUAAAGCCCUAUCAGCAGGGAAGAUAAUGACGGUACCUGACUAAGAAGCCCCGGCUAACUACGUGCCAGCAGCCGCGGUAAU